AUUGAACGCUGGCGGCAGGCUUAACACAUGCAAGUCGAGCGAGCGGCGGACGGGUGAGUAAUGUCUGGGAAACUGCCUGCUGGAGGGGGAUAACUACUGGAAACGGUAGCUAAUACCGCAUACCAUCAGAUGUGCCCAGCUGGGAUUAGCUAGUAGGUGGGGUAAAGGCUCACCAAGCCGACGAUCUCUAGCUGGUCUGAGAGGAUGACCAGCCAAACUGGAACUGGGACACGGCCCAUACUCUUACGGUAGGCAGCAGUGGGGAAUAUUGCGAAAUGGGGGCAGUCCUGACGCGGCCAUGCGGCGUGAAUGAAGCAGGCCUUCGGGUUGUAAAGUUCUUUCAGUCGGGAGGCGUUACCGACAGAAGAAGCACCGGCUAACUCCGUGCCAGCAGCCGCGGUAAUAC
rnacentral:rRNA from 1 species